GCAGCGACCCCGCGUGAGGGAUGACGCCUUCGGGUUGUAAACCUCUUCAGCAGGGAAGAAGCGCAAGUGACGGUACCUGCAGAGAAGCGCCGGCUAACUACGUGCCAGCAGCCGCGGUAAUACGUAGGGCGCAAGCGUUGUCCGGGAAUUAUUGGGCGUAAAGAGCUCGUAGGCGGUCUGUCGCGUCUGGUGUGAAAUCCCGAGGCUCAACCUCGGGCUUGCAUCGGGUACGGGCAGACUAGAGUGCGGUAGGGGAGACUGGAAUUCCUGGUGUAGCGGUGGAAUGCGCAGAUAUCAGGAGGAACACCGAUGGCGAAGGCAGGUCUCUGGGCCGCAACUGACGCUGAGGAGCGAAAGCAUGGGGAGCGAACAGGAUUAGAUACCCUGGUAGUCCAUGCCGUAAACGUUGGGCACUAGGUGUGGGGCUCAUUCCACGAGUUCCGUGCCGCAGCUAACGCAUUAAGUGCCCCGCCUGGGGAGUACGGCCGCAAGGCUAAAACUCAAAGGAAUUGACGGGGGCCCGCACAAGCGGCGGAGCAUGCGGAUUAAUUCGAUGCAACGCGAAGAACCUUACCAAGGCUUGACAUGCACCGGAAACACUCAGAGAUGGGUGCCCCGUAAGGUCGGUGCACAGGUGGUGCAUGGUUGUCGUCAGCUCGUGUCGUGAGAUGUUGGGUUAAGUCCCGCAACGAGCGCAACCCUCGUCCUAUGUUGCCAGCGGGUUAUGCCGGGGACUCAUGGGAGACUGCCGGGGUCAACUCGGAGGAAGGUGGGGAUGACGUCAAAUCAUCAUGCCCCUUAUGUCUUGGGCUUCACGCAUGCUACAAUGGCCGGUACAGAGGGCUGCGAUACCGUAAGGUGGAGCGAAUCCCAAAAAGCCGGUCUCAGUUCGGAUUGGGGUCUGCAACUCGACCCCAUGAAGUCGGAGUCGCUAGUAAUCGCAGAUCAGCAACGCUGCGGUGAAUACGUUCCCGGGCCUUGUACACACCGCCCGUCAAGUCACGAAAGUUGGUAACACCCGAAGCUCAUGGCCCAACCGGUUUCCGGGGGGAGUGGUCGAAGGUGGACG
rnacentral:rRNA from 1 species